rnacentral:rRNA from 1 species
UUCGCAAUGCCCGAAAGGGUGACGGAGCGACGCCGCGUGGACGACGAAGGCCCUCGGGUUGUAAAGUCCUGUCAGGUGGGAAGAACAGCUUGGAGGUGAAUAACCUUCAAGCCUGACGUUACCAUCAGAGGAGGCACCAGCAAACUUCGUGCCAGCAGCUGCGGUAAUACGAAGGGUGCGAGCGUUGUUCGGAAUCACUGGGCUUAAAGGGCACGUAGGCGGGGAGAUAAAUCAGAAGUGAAAGCCCGGCGCUCAACGUCGGAAUUGCCUUUGAGAAUGUCUCUCUCGAGUUCAGGAGGGGAGAGCGGAACUCUUGGUGGAGCGGUGAAAUGCGUAGAUAUCAAGGGGAACGCCGGCGGCGAAAGCGGCUCUCUGGCCUGAUACUGACGCUGAGGUGCGAAAGCUAGGGGAGCAAAAAGGAUUAGAUACCCUUGUAGUCCUAGCCGUAAACGAUGGGCACUAAGUAGAGGGGUUUU